UACCAUUUAUUGCCUUUCUUUUACACUUUCCAUUGUCUAAUGUCCAGUCACUUCAUCUUCUUCACUGGAAAAAGGUUAGCCUGCAUGGAAAACAGGUUCUUUCAUGGAAGAAUGACCAUGGUGAAGAAUUACUUUAUAUGAGCAGUAAGUGAAUAGCAAGAUGAAGCAUGGGUUACCAGUUGCAACUCCUAAACUCAAGAUUUUAUCCAAUCUCGCCAACAUGAACAUGAACAAUUUGACUGUUUUGGACUUUCUAGCAAGCUUAAGAAUGUACCUGUACAACUUUGUUCCGCAUAUACAUCUAUAUGUAUGAUGUACUUUAUGUUAAUAUUAAACACAUUA